rnacentral:rRNA from 1 species
AUCUGAGAGUUUGAUCCUGGCUCAGGACGAACGCUGGCGGCGUGCCUAACACAUGCAAGUCGAGCGGAGCGAUUUUUCGGAAGUUUUCGGACGGAAGAGAGAGAGCUUAGCGGCGGACGGGUGAGUAACGCGUGGGCAAUCUGCCUUUUACAGGGGGAUAACACAGGGAAACUUGUGCUAAUACCGCAUAAAACUGUUUUGCGGCAUCGUAGAGCAGCCAAAGGAGGAAUCCGGUAAGAGAGGAGCCCGCGUCUGAUUAGCUAGUUGGUGAGGUAACGGCCCACCAAGGAGACGAUCAGUAGCCGGACUGAGAGGUUGAACGGACACAUUGGGACUGAGA